AAACCAGAGGCUUGGAGGCAAGCAAAAGAGAAAGAGGGGAAAGAGGGAAAGAAAGAGAGGAGAGAGGGAGCGAGGGUGAUGGGAUACAGAGAAAACAGUGGCAACGAGUGUGAUAAAAUCAGUGAAAGGAAAAACGAAAAAUAUUAAAAGAGCUUUAAGACAUCACUGAGAGUGAGGAUGCUAUAAAAUGAAACCGUGCGGAGAAAGGGUAUGCUUUUCCAGCAUGUUCCCCAUCUUGGAAAUAAAAUAAUGAUAUAGUGUAUGGAUCAGUGAAGAGAGACUUUCCAAAUAUCGAGGAUUGGCACCACGUUUCAAAAUAAUCAUUUCAUUACCCUUACCAGUGAUUCUCUUCUGCUCCUGAUUUGGUGCUGUAUCAUCUGUUCAUCUGAAAAUUCAUCGCUUUCGACUAUUGGAGGAAACGCUCUUUUGCCGACAGUGCGUCUACCCUGCCGGAGCCUUAUGCUCUUUCUGCUUCACCAAAAGACACAGUUACGUGUAGAUGUUUGGGUGGAACAAAAAUGGAAGAAUUCUUUCUUAUUCGAAAGGGUUGAAAGGCUGGCAUUUGAACUUUACAAUCGUGGAGAGGGAGUCGGUUGCUAUCUUUGGUUAUCUAGCUGUAUGAGUGUUAUUCAGCCGUCAUAAAGCUAGAUAACCGAAAGUAGAAAUGACUUCCAGACCUGCGUUCUUAGCUACAACUGGGAGAAACAACAAUGAGGAAAAAAAACAAACAAACAAAAAAAAAAACGUAAUAAAUAAAACGAAGGAGGACACACCAAACAUCAGGAAAUUCGCUGUAAGAAUGUAAACGUACGUCUUCAUUAUAAAGGAAUUACAUCUGUCUCCCAGUCUGAGCUGACCAUUAAGGAACUGCUAAGAUCUGCUUUCAAGAUGGAAUAAAACAAUAAAAACAACAAUUCUGUCAAAAAAGAACUACCACUCCAUUUUAUUCCAAGAAUUCCUAGAUGUUUGUUGGACUACAGGAUGGAAAAGAUUUGAAGUUACCUGCUAAUUAUGGAUUUAUGGAUUUUCUGUUAAAUACUCCUGGAUGGACUAUUAAAAUUCACAGCAGCACAUACAAUAACCCUUAAAUUCUCCCAGGACAGCAAAUGAAAUAAUGCAAAAAGAGGAAGGGAGUUUUCCAUUGAAAAGAAAGGGUUCAAAGUAUCAAGAAAUUGCUUUGUCAACAGUCUUAAAAUAAUUAAAUUCUCUUAAUGUAUUCCUUCAAUUAAAAAUUGAACUGUGUAUCUGUUUAUAAAUAAAUACUUUUUACUUUGUCAUUUUUCUGUUGUGUAUUUAAGAUAUCAUUUUAUUUUUCUGAUUAAACUAUGUAUGCCACUUUUGCCAAAUGUAUGUAUAUAUUUUCUUCUGUUGUUAAAGUCUAAAUUUGAGUAAAUAAAAAUGAAAUCCAAUGUA